rnacentral:rRNA from 1 species
GAUGAACGCUGGCGGCAUGCCUAAUACAUGCAAGUCGAACGAAGCGACCCAUUGAAGAUGAAGUGCUUGCACGGAGUCGGAUUUGGAUUUUCGCUUAGUGGCGAACGGGUGAGUAACACGUGGGUAACCUGCCCUUCAAACUGGGAUAACUAUUGGAAACGAUAGCUAAUACCGGAUAGGUAGUAGUGAGGCAUCUCAUUACUAUUAAAGAUGCGUUUGCAUCAUUGAAGGAUGGACCCGCGGUGUAUUAGCUAGUUGGUGAGGUAACGGCCCACCAAGGCGAUGAUACAUAGCCGACCUGAGAGGGUGACCGGCCACAUUGGGACUGAGACACGGCCCAAACUCCUACGGGAGGCAGCAGUAGGGAAUUUUCGUCAAUGGGGGAAACCCUGAACGAGCAAUGCCGCGUGAGCGAAGAAGGAUUUCGGUCUGUAAAGCUCUGUUGUAAAGGAAGAACACUAGAUAGAGGAAAUGCUAUUUAGAUGACGGUACUUUACCAGAAAGCCACGGCUAACUACGUGCCAGCAGCCGCCGUAAAAC